rnacentral:rRNA from 1 species
AUACGGAAGGUCCGGGCGUUAUCCGGAUUUAUUGGGUUUAAAGGGAGCGUAGGCGGGAGCUUAAGUCAGCGGUUAAAUGGUGCGGCUCAACCGUGCCCUGCCGUUGAAACUGGGUUUCUUGAGAGUGCAAGAGGCGGAUGGCAUUCUUGGUGUGGCGGUGGAAUGCUUAGAUAUCAUGAAGAACUCCGAUUGCGAAGGCAGUCCGCUGGGGCACGUCUGACGCUGAUGCUCGAAGGUGCGGGAAUCAAACAGGAUUAGAUACCCUGGUAGUCCGCACGGUAAACGAUGAUUACCCGCUGUCGGCGGCAGACAGUCGGCGGCCAAGCGAAAGCGACAAGUAAUCCACCUGGGGAGUACGCCGGCAACGGUGAAACUCAAAGGAAUUGACGGGG